rnacentral:rRNA from 1 species
AUUGAACGCUGGCGGCAGGCUUAACCCAUGCAAGUCGAGCGAGCGGCGGACGGGUGAGUAAUGCCUGGGAAACUGCCUGAUGGAGGGGGAUAACUACUGGAAACGGUAGCUAAUACCGCAUACCAUCGGAUGUGCCCAGAUGGGAUUAGCUAGUGGGUGGGGUAAAGGCUCACCUAGGCGACGAUCCCUAGCUGGUCUGAGAGGAUGACCAGCCACCCGGGAACUGCGACACGGUCCGGACACCUACGGGAGUCAGCAGGGGGGAAUAUUGCACAAUGGGCGCAAGCCUGAGACAGCCAUGCGGCGUGUGUAAGGAGGGCCUUCGGGUUGUAAAGCACUUUAAGCGAGGAGGCGUUACUCGCAGAAGAAGCACCGGCUAACUCCGUGCCAGCCGCCGCGGUAAUUC